rnacentral:lncRNA from 1 species
GUCCAGAGACGUGCAGACCACAAGACACUGCCUCCACUUACUUCAAAUGUGUCUGGAUGUGUGGACUACCGUAAGGGACCUCAUGAAUAGCGACAGCAACACCAAUGAAGAUGCUGGUAAACAACUGAUGAGACAAUGGACAGAACUUGUUUGUUUCUGAUUUGUGAGAUAUUUUUUUCAGCCUCUGAAGCCCCGAAUGUAACUGCAUAAGCCCAUGGAUCAGUAUCAGUAUCAGUAUCACCCUUCAUUCACUCCGGACACAGCACAGCAGGACUCCUCCUACACACACAAACUAUACACAUUUUGAGUAAGUUUUCCAGUUAUCUUUUAAUGGAACCAGACGCCUAUCAUUCUUCGUUUCUUGGCAGCCUAAACCUAAAACACAACCAAUGUUGCAAGAACUGAAGAACUCUUCAGGUUCCAAUGCAAGUCAUUUGAGAGUACAAAGAACAGAACACAUAACUGAUGGAAUUAAACCUAAAGAACAGGACGAUCAGGACAUAUCAACCAAGGGACAACAAUUGUCAGCUCACUUCUCAGUAUGAUUGCCUAA